GGACAGCAGUGACCACUCCAUCAGGACGACGGGACACGGACAGCCUUGAACUCAGCUGGAAGGGAGAGCUGCCAACGCUCUCCAGGACAGGUAAGAUCACCCCAACCCACACCCACCAGGCUCUAACAGCAAGCCGGAAGGUGACACGAUCCGGCGGGGACACCAGGGACCGCUCCGUCAGGAUGACAGGAGACAGACGGAUGUGGUGAGAUGCUCAAAACCCUCGGGCACAGAGGCAGGGGCUGCCCGUGGUCACACGGGGAUGCUGCUCUGUUGUUCCUUCUC
rnacentral:lncRNA from 1 species